rnacentral:rRNA from 1 species
GAUGAACGCUGGCGGCGUGCCUAAUACAUGCAAGUCGAGCGAACAGACGAGGAGCUUGCUCCUCUGACGUUAGCGGCGGACGGGUGAGUAACACGUGGAUAACCUACCUAUAAGACUGGGAUCACUUCGGGAAACCGGAGCUAAUACCGGAUAAUAUAUUGAACCGCAUGGUUCAAUAGUGAAAGACGGUUUUGCUGUCACUUAUAGAUGGAUCCGCGCCGCAUUAGCUAGUUGGUAAGGUAACGGCUUACCAAGGCAACGAUGCGUAGCCGACCUGAGAGGGGGAUCGGCCACACUGGAACUGAGACACGGUCCAGACUCCUACGGGAGGCAGCAGUAGGGAAUCUUCCGCAAUGGGCGAAAGCCUGACGGAGCAACGCCGCGUGAGUGAUGAAGGUCUUCGGAUCGUAAAACUCUGUUAUUAGGGAAGAACAAAUGUGUAAGUAACUAUGCACGUCUUGACGGUACCUAAUCAGAAAGCCACGGCUAACUACGUG